GUGGGUUGCCAUGCCCUCCUCCAGGGGAUCUUCCUGACCCAGGGAUUGAAGCCGGGUCUCCUGCAUUGGCAGGCGGACCGGUUACCAUCUGAGCCAGCAGGGAAGCAGAAGAAGAAAGCAGCUCUCCACCCGGGGACGAGGCGGCCUCGAGGUGGAGAAGCUGGUUUCCACCCCCGAACGCGCUCACGCCGCCCUGCGCCCACGGCGGCUGCUCGUCCUCUGUACAGGGGGCUCUGGCCAGUUUCUCGCGGAUUCGAGGAGGGGCGAGCACUCGGUUCCCGCCGUUCGGGCCUUUGCCUAUUACUCCCGUUUGUUUGGGUUUUACUUUUCCUGACCGUGGCACUUCUGGCUCUGUUGGAAAAUGUCACAUGGUUCACACCAACGUUUCUAUUCAGCAGGCGUGUAAGCAGCAGAGAAUGCACGCGCAAGGCCACUUCCACGUCUCCCUGGAGUUCACACCCAUUGCUUUUAAGAUUCCCUGGCCGCAGCUGCUUUGGAGAAGGCUCGCAGAAGCAUUACCCAGCAAGGGGAGCGACCCCGGCAAGGCGUAAGGUGGUCUGACGGACGCGCGCAGGUGGACAUCUGGAAAGAAAUCUGCUGACCCAAAGGGCCCAGCGGCCAAGGCCCCGGCCAGCAGAGGAGGGGUCAGCCCCGGGGCCACCCGUGUCCCAGCUAGCACGGAAGGCAGUCCCUCCAGUGGGCACACGCGCAAAUCUGUUCCCGUAAAAGAUAGAGGCAAGAGUUCUUUCGGUGGUGAGCAAUCGAAACAUUGCAGCUGGGACCUGCUGGGCCCGGUUCAGCCUUUGUGUUCCAUCCAGAGUUGGGCUGGCUCCAGGCGCUUGGUUCAGUCUGCAGGGAGCCAAACACGCUCCUCAUGGUUUAGGGAACUGCUGCAGUCGAGACCCUGAGCGGGCCGGGGAGCUGGGGACACCAGGGACCCUGCCUCUGGGGACAGUGCUCUGAACAGGGCGGUCAUUACAGGUGGAGCUUUGUAACAGCAGCCGAAAACUUAUAAAUCCAGUUCUAAGUCAUGACUGUGCGAGCCAGAGGGGAGCACGUUGAUGGGAUGCAAACGAAAAUACAGAAGCUUGAUGAAAACAGCACGACUGUGGGAGGCCAAGUGGAACCGUGGGCUGCGAGCUGGCGGUCCGACGACACGGGUCGGGGGGGUGACCUCCAGUGGUGCGGGCACCCACAUGCCCUGAGCCCCCGCCCAUCAGACCCCGUGCUCUAAGCCCCGCCCCCCAUCAGACCGCGUGCCCUGAGUUGUGCUAAGCAGUUCUCCCAGCAGUCUAGCGUAACAGCCGUUGUCAUCACUGCUUUACAGAGGAGGACCCUGAAGGCCCGAUGGUCAAGAUUACGUGGCCAACGAGACACGUCUGGGAGCUAGAGCGAAGGCCCCUCGGCUCCCAGGUCCCUUAGGGGCACCGUGCUGCUUCCUGAACA
rnacentral:lncRNA from 1 species